UACGGAGGGUGCUAGCGUUAAUCGGAAUUAUUGGGCGUAAAGGGUGUGUAGGUGGAAUGAUAAGCUAUAGGUAAAAUACCUGGGCUCAACCUGGGGGAGUCCUGUAGGACUGUCAAUCUAGAGUAUAGGAGAGGGUAGGGGAAUUUCCGGUGUAGCGGUGAAAUGCGUAGAUAUCGGAAGGAACACUGGUGGCGAAGGCGCCUACCUGGUCUAAUACUGACACUGAGACACGAAAGCGUGGGGAGCAAAC
rnacentral:rRNA from 1 species